UACGUAGGGUGCGAGCGUUAAUCGGAAUUACUGGGCGUAAAGCGUGCGCAGGCGGUUCGUUAUGUCCGAUGUGAAAGCCCCGAGCUUAACUUGGGAAUGGCAUUGGAAACUGGCGGGCUGGAGUGCGGCAGAGGGGGGUGGAAUUCCACGUGUAGCAGUGAAAUGCGUAGAGAUGUGGAGGAACACCGAUGGCGAAGGCAGCCCCCUGGGCCGACACUGACGCUCAGGCACGAAAGCUAGGGGAGCAAACGGG
rnacentral:rRNA from 1 species